rnacentral:rRNA from 1 species
CCUACGGGCGGCUGCAGUGAGGAAUAUUGGUCAAUGGACGCAAGUCUGAACCAGCCAUGCCGCGUGCAGGAAGACGGCUCUCUGAGUUGUAAACUGCUUUUGUACGGGGGUAAAUCCCGAUACGUGUAGCGGGUGAAAGUAUCGUACGAAUCAGGAUCGGCUAACUCCGUGCAAGCAGCCGCGGUAAUACGGAGGAUUCAAGCGUUUUCCGGAUUUAUUGGGUUGAAAGGGUGCGUAGGCGGUUCGAUAAGUUAGAGGUGAAAUGCCGGGGGUCAACUCCGGGACUGCCUCGGAUACUGUCGGGCUAGAGUUUAGUGGCGGUAGGCGGAAUGUAUGGGGUAGCGGUGAAAUGCAUAGAGAUCAUACAGAACACCGAUUGCGAAGGCAGCUUACCAAACUACGACUGACGUUGAGGCACGAAAGCGUGGGGAGCAAACAGGAUUAGAUACCCCGUGUAGUC